rnacentral:rRNA from 1 species
UUCGGGACUGAUUAUUUUGUGACUGAGUGGCGGACGGGUGAGUAACGCGUGGGUAACCUGCCUUAUACAGGGGGAUAACAGUUAGAAAUGACUGCUAAUACCGCAUAAGCGCACGGCAUCGCAUGAUGCAGUGUGAAAAACUCCGGUGGUAUAAGAUGGACCCGCGUUGGAUUAGCUAGUUGGUGAGGUAACGGCCCACCAAGGCGACGAUCCAUAGCCGACCUGAGAGGGUGACCGGCCACAUUGGAACUGAGACACGGUCCAGACUCC